AAUAGAUACCCGGGUAGUCCACGCCGUAAACGAUGAGUGCUAAGUGUUAGAGGGUUUCCGCCCUUUAGUGCUGCAGCAAACGCAUUAAGCACUCCGCCCGGGGAGUACGGUCGCAAGACUGAAACUCAAAGGAAUUGACGGGGGCCCGCACAAGCGGUGGAGCAUGUGGUUUAAUUCGAAGCAACGCGAAGAACCUUACCAGGUCUUGACAUCCUUCGCUACUUCUAGAGAUAGAAGGGUUCCCCUUCGGGGGACGGAGUGACAGGUGGUGCAUGGUUGUCGUCAGCUCGUGUCGUGAGAUGUUGGGUUAAGUCCCGCAACGAGCGCAACCCUUGACCUUAGUUGCCAGCAUUUAGUUGGGCACUCUAAGGUGACUGCCGGUGACAAACCGGAGGAAGGUGGGGAUGACGUCAAAUCAUCAUGCCCCUUAUGACCUGGGCUACACACGUGCUACAAUGGAUGGUACAAAGGGCUGCAAGACUGCGAAGUCAAGCCAAUCCCAUAAAACCAUUCUCAGUUCGGAUUGCAGGCUGC
rnacentral:rRNA from 1 species